UACGUAGGGUGCGAGCGUUAAUCGGAAUUACUGGGCGUAAAGCGUGCGCAGGCGGUUCGUUAAGACAGAUGUGAAAUCCCCGGGCUUAACCUGGGAACUGCAUUUGUGACUGGCGAGCUAGAGUAUGGCAGAGGGGGGUAGAAUUCCACGUGUAGCAGUGAAAUGCGUAGAGAUGUGGAGGAAUACCGAUGGCGAAGGCAGCCCCCUGGGCCAAUACUGGACGCUCAUGCACGAAAGGCGUGGGGAGC
rnacentral:rRNA from 1 species